UACGUAGGGGGCUAGCGUUGUCCGGAUUUAUUGGGCGUAAAGAGCGUGUAGGCGGCCAGGUAGGUCUGCUGUGAAAACUCGAGGCUCAACCUCGAGACGUCGGCGGAAACCAUCUGGCUAGAGUCCGGGAGAGGAGAGUGGAAUUCCUGGUGUAGCGGUGAAAUGCGUAGAUAUCAGGAGGAACACCGGUGGUGUAGACGGCUCUCUGGACCGUAACUGACGCUGAGACACGAAAGCGUGGGUAGCAAACAGG
rnacentral:rRNA from 1 species